rnacentral:rRNA from 1 species
ACGGGAGGCAGCAGUGGGGAAUAUUGGGCAAUGGGCGAAAGCCUGACCCAGCAACGCCGCGUGAAGGAAGAAGGUCUUCGGAUUGUAAACUUCUUUUAUGAGGGACGAAGGACGUGACGGUACCUCAUGAAUAAGCCCCGGCUAACUACGUGCCAGCAGCCGCGGUAAUACGUAGGGGGCAAGCGUUAUCCGGAUUUACUGGGUGUAAAGGGAGCGUAGGCGGCCAGACAAGUCAGGUGUGAAAACCCGGGGCUUAACCCCGGGACUGCACUUGAAACUGCCUGGCUGGAGUGCAGGAGAGGCAAGUGGAAUUCCUAGUGUAGCGGUGAAAUGCGUAGAUAUUAGGAAGAACACCGGUGGCGAAGGCGACUUGCUGGACUGAGACUGACGCUGAGGCUCGAAAGCGUGGGGAGCAAACAGGAUUAGAUACCCUGGUA